CUUUCAUAUGCAUUGCACUCAUGAGCAUCAUGCCACAUUUGCAUGUUUGAAUUCAAAUUUGAAUCUCAUAGGCUUUAAAAAGGUUUUAUUUCAUUUUAAAACCCUAGUAUUUCACCCAUUUGAGCUUUGGAUCUUUAAACCAAUAGGGUUUAUCUAUAAAUGGGGUUUAUUGCAUAAAUAAGCUAUCCCAUAUUUAUUUUUUUGGAUAUUUAUUGGAGUUGAAAAACUAUUUUAUUUAAAUAGUUAUAUAGCCCUAAAGCCAUUUAUAGGGCAAAUGUAUUUUUAUAUAUUUUAUUUGGAAGGGAAAUUAUUCCCAAAAGUUGAAUCAUGAUAAAACAUGAUUUUACAAAUUUUCUGGAAUUUAUUUGGAUCAAUUUAGAGUUCAAAAUCAAAAGAUAUCAAAAAAAUCAAAAAAAGGAAAAAGGAAAAGAAAAAAAAAGGGAAAACCGGACCGGCCCGGCCAAAUGGGCCGAACUGGCCUGGUUCCAACCGCGCCCGAACCGCCCGAGCCGGCCCAACCAGCCACGCGCGCGAGCCACUGAUAGGUGGGGCCC
rnacentral:lncRNA from 1 species